rnacentral:rRNA from 1 species
GACAGGGGUGGUACAUCUGUCAAAUGGUAACGCAGGUGCCCUAAGGUGAGCUCAGCGAGGACAGCAACCUCGCGUAGAGCAAAAGAACACGAGUUUUUGUGACCACGUGCACGCGCACAAUGG